AACGAACGCUGGCGGCAGGCUUAACACAUGCAAGUCGAACGCACCUUUCGGGGUGAGUGGCAGACGGGGGAGUAACGCGUGGGAAGCUACCCUUCUCUACGGGAUAGCUCCGGGAAACUGGAAUUAAUACCGUAUACGUCCUGAGGGAGAAAGAUUUAUCGGGGAAGGAUGCGCCCUCGUUGGAUUAGCUAGUUGGUGGGGUAAUGGCCUCCCAAGGCGACGAUCCAUAGCUGGUAUAAGAGGCUGAUCAGCCACAUUGGGACUGAGACACGGCCCAAACUCCUACGGGAGGCAGCAGUGGGGAAUAUUGCACCACCGCCGCAAGCCUGAUCCACCCAUGCCGCGUAAGUGAUGAAGGCACUAGGGUUGUAAAGCUCUUUCAGUGGGGACGAUAAUGACGGUACCCACAGAAGAAGCCCCGGCUAACUUCGUG
rnacentral:rRNA from 1 species